UCCCUGGUAGCUCAGAUGGUGAAAGCGUCUGCCUACAAUGCGGGAGACCUGGGUUCGAUCCCUGGGUUGGGAA
rfam:TPA: Bos taurus chromosome 23, whole genome shotgun sequence.